rnacentral:rRNA from 1 species
UACGUAGGGGGCAAGCGUUGUCCGGAUUUAUUGGGCGUAAAGAGCGUGUAGGCGGCCAGGUAGGUCUGCUGUGAAAAACUCGAGGCUUAACCUCGAGAUGUCGGCGGAAACCAUCUGGCUAGAGUCCGGAAGAGGAGUGUGGAAUUCCCGGUGUAGCGGUGAAAAUGCGCAGAUAUCGGGAAAGAACACCCCGUGGCGAAGGCGGCACUCUGGGACGGUACUGACGCUGAGACGCGAAAAGCGUGGGGGAGCGAACGAG